CCCAAGUGAAAGAAAGAGCAAAGGGAGCAAAGAGCGAUAGAAAAAUAAGAAGCUGCAAUUACAAUUUGAGGAGGUGAUUUUCUGACUUCAAGUGAAAAAGGAAAUUGAUCUAAUCUCCGUAGAAGCUUGCACACACAAAAGUGAAAGGUGAACUUCGAACUACAUAGAGCGCACAGCUAGCUGUAGAGCUCUUACGGAAUUCCAGAGUUCGAUGUAUAUAGAUGACGACCUGUAGGGUUAUUUUUAGGCUGUUAUCUUAAGUUUAUGGUAUAUUGUGACAUGUGUUGGGGGUCCUGUGUUGCAUAUCUUUCGACAUGACCUGUAGACAUAUUUAUAAU